UAAACCCACAGCUACCGCUGCAAAGUAUAAACACAAAAAACCAAAAUACGACAAUCCAAUUACCAAUAUACACAUUAUAUUACACACUGUUGCCAGUGUCACUCUCUUUCUCUCUCUCUCUCUAUAUAUAAGCACACAUAGAGAGAGAAAAAAGAAUGGGGAGAGAGUUUUUGUGUGUAAAACGAAAACCCAACCAAGAAAAAGUGAAAAAAUAGAGAUCAAGGGAGGUUUUCUUUCUUUCAGAAACAACCAAAAAAAAGAAAAGUAGGGCUUUUUUUUUUUUUCCUCUUUUUUUUUUUUAACAUGUUUCCUGAAACCCAUUUCCAUUCUCAUUCUCAACCUUCUUCUUCUUCUACUUCUUCUUCUUGCUUUUCAUGGAACCGACACUUGUUCGACUAUGGUUUCCUCUCCUCAAGGUUUACGGAGAGCAGUGAUGCUUGCACAGGAGUGAACCAUCCAUCCCUCGUAGCACUUCUGGAAUUAGAAUAUGUAAACCGAUAAGUAUAUGUUUGUGGUAGGGAGGGAAUGAAGCCAUUGGUCCGUUGAGCAUAUAUUGAUACUGGUAUUAAAUCGACAUUUCUUGUAAUAGUAUUCACUAACCUUGAAAUAUCUUGGUUUGUACUUUCUGUGUCAAAGUUUUCCUAGUCAUUCUAUUGACUGAUUUGUGACUGUAUUUAGUAUCUACUUUUCUUUCAACUGAUAUUCCCAAAGAAAUCUAAAUUUUUAUUUGCCAAUUUUGUGUUCGCUGAUUAUCAUGAACCGUGAUUGAUACU